CCUACGGGUGGCAGCAGUGGGGAAUAUUGCACAAUGGGGGAAACCCUGAUGCAGCGACGCCGCGUGAGUGAAGAAGGAUUUCGGUACGUAAAGCUCUAUCUGUAGGGAAGAAAAUGACGGUACCUGACUAAGAAGCCCCGGCUAACUACGUGCCAGCAGCCGCGGUAAUACGUAGGGGGCAAGCGUUAUCCGGAUUUACUGGGUGUAAAGGGAGCGUAGACGGCAGCGCAAGUCUGGAGUGAAAUCCCAUGGCUUAACCAUGGAACUGCUUUGGAAACUGUGCAGCUAGAGUGCAGGAGAGGUAAGCGGAAUUCCUAGUGUAGCGGUGAAAUGCGUAGAGAGUAUGAGGAACACCAGUGGCGAAGGCAGCUUACUGGACUGUAACUGACGUUGAGGCUCGAAAGCGUGGGGAGCAAACAGGAUUAGAUACCCCUGUAGUC
rnacentral:rRNA from 1 species